GAAAUAUUCCUAACAUUUGGAGGUUGCCAAUAAGGAUAAUUGUGGGAACUAGCUUUAUGCAGGUUUGACUGCCCAUGGUGUGAAAGAGGUCAUCUAGUUGCCCAGGCAGAAAGAAAUUGAGCCGCUUUCCCAUGGCGGGCUCCGCCAGCCCGCCCAGGGACCGUUUGCAGCAGCUCUCUAAUCGUUUUUUAAGAAUAACAUUGUAACAUUGGUGCCUGACUCCCGAACCGGGUUCUUUUCCACUUCGCCGGCCUACGACCCACGUGUUCCCUGGAUGCAGCUCCUCCAAACAACAGAUCAACUAAUCGGACUCCAGACAUUCCCAUGCCACAGACAUCGGUCAGAAGCAAAGAGACCAGCUAUGCCAGGAUGUUCCCAGCACCCCAGCCUUCUCUCGCACCCCUCCCCAAGACGACGCCCACAAUCAGCCGGAAGCAGUCUUGAGAAUUCGCCGCCCCAAUUCCUUCAAACUGAAGUGUCUAAUUUGCUUUUUAUCAAAAGCAAGAUGUGGGAAUGAUAUUCUUGGGUCCCUGCCCUAGCCACGCCCACUCCCAUAACCUCUGACCCGCCCAUCGCCAUCUUGGGACCUCUCUCUCUCUCUCUGCUUCCUUGGCGUGCGCACGCGUUUUCUCUGUCUCUCUCUUCUUUUAUCUCUCCUCUCUCCUUUUAUCUCUUUUCUCUGUCUUUCUUUCUCCCCCUUCCUUAAUAAAUACUUAUGGCUAUUA